rnacentral:rRNA from 1 species
GAUGAACGCUGGCGGCGUGCCUAACACAUGCAAGUCGAACGGAGCACUUCGGUGCUUAGUGGCGAACGGGUGAGUAACGCGUGAAGAACCUGCCUUUCAGUGGGGGACAACAGUUGGAAACGACUGCUAAUACCGCAUAAUGUUAUUUGGGGGCAUCCUCGAAUAACCAAAGAUUUAUUGCUGAAAGAUGGCUUCGCGUCUGAUUAGCUAGAUGGCGGGGUAACGGCCCACCAUGGCGACGAUCAGUAGCCGGUCUGAGAGGAUGAACGGCCACAUUGGGACUGAGAUACGGCCCAGACUCCUACGGGAGGCAGCAGUGGGGAAUAUUGGGCAAUGGGCGAAAGCCUGACCCAGCAACGCCGCGUGAAGGAAGAAGGUCUUCGGAUUGUAAACUC